AUUGAACGCUGGCGGCAGGCCUAACACAUGCAAGUCGAACGAGUGGCGGACGGGUGAGUAAUGUCUGGGAAACUGCCCGAUGGAGGGGGAUAACUACUGGAAACGGUAGCUAAUACCGCAUACCAUCAGAUGAACCCAUAUGGGAUUAGCUGGUAGGUAAGGUAACGGCUUACCUAGGCGACGAUCCCUCACUGGUCUGAGAGGAUGAUCAGCCACACUGGUACUGAGACACGGCCCAGACACCUACGGGAGGCAGCAGUGGGGAAUAUUGCACAAUGGGCGCAAGCCUGAGACAGCCAUGCCGCGUGUAUGAAGAAGGCCUUCGGGUUGUAAAGUACUUUCAGUCGGGAGGCGUUACCGACAGAAGAAGCACCGGCUAACUCCGUGCCAGCAGCCGCGGUAAUUC
rnacentral:rRNA from 1 species